ACGAUCAAGGCAAAACAGCCGAAAGGCUGCGACGCAAAGCUACAGGGCCUGACCCGUCCCCUCCGGGACGGAAUGGCAGCCAGUUGCCG
rnacentral:ncRNA from 1 species